CGGAGGGUGCAAGCGUUGUUCGGAAUUACUGGGCGUAAAGCGCACGUAGGCGGGUCUGUAUGUCGAUUGUGAAAUCCCCGGGCUUAACCUGGGAAUUGCAGUCGAAACUGCAGAUCUUGAAUGUUUGAGAGGAUGGCGGAAUUCCUGGUGUAGUAGUGAAAUACGUAGAUAUCAGGAAGAACACCCGAGGCGAAGGCGGCUAUCUGGUGAUACAUUGACGCUGAGGUGCGAAAGCGUGGGGAGCAAACAGGAUUAGAUACCCUGUAGUCCACGCCGUAAACGAUGGAUACUAGAUGUUCGGAGAGUUAACCCUCUGAGUAUCAAAGCUUACGCAUUAAGUAUCCCGCCUGGGGAGUACGGUCGCAAGGCUA
rnacentral:rRNA from 1 species